rnacentral:rRNA from 1 species
AUUUAACUUGGGAGUCAGAACAUGGGUGAUAAGGUCCGUGUUCGAAAGGGAAACAGCCCAGACCACCAGCUAAGGUCCCAAAAUAUAUGUUAAGUGGAAAAGGAUGUGGCGUUGCCCAGACAACUAGGAUGUUGGCUUAGAAGCAGCCAUCAUUUAAAGAGUGCGUAAUAGCUCACUAGUCGAGUGACACUGCGCCGAAAAUGUACCGGGGCUAAACAUAUUACCGAAGCUGUGGAUUGUCCUUUGGACAAUGGUAGGAGAGCGUUCUAAGGGCGUUGAAGCAUGAUCGUAAGGACAUGUGGAGCGCUUAGAAGUGAGAAUGCCGGUGUGAGUAGCGAAAGACGGGUGAGAAUCCCGUCCACCGAUUGACUAAGGUUUCCAGAGGAAGGCUCGUCCGCUCUGGGUUAGUCGGGUCCUAAGCUGAGGCCGACAGGCGUAGGCGAUGGAUAACAGGUUGAUAUUCCUGUACCACCUAUAAUCGUUUUAAUCGAUGGGGGGACGCAGUAGGAUA